GUGCUCCUUUGGCAGCACAUAUACUAGAAUUGGAAUGAUACAGAGAAGAUUAGGAUGGCCCCUGCGCAAGGAUGACAUGGAAAUUUGUGAAGUGUUUCCUAUUAAA
rnacentral:snRNA from 1 species